AGACUCCUACGGGAGGCAGCAGUGGGGAAUAUUGGACAAUGGGCGCAAGCCUGAUCCAGCAAUGCCGCGUGUGUGAAGAAGGCCUGCGGGUUGUAAAGCACUUUUAGUAGGGAAGAAGCGCUUAGGGCUAAUACCGCUAAGUUUUGACGUUACCUACAGAAAAAGCACCGGCUAACUCCGUGCCAGCAGCCGCGGUAAUACGGAGGGUGCAAGCGUUAAUCGGAAUUACUGGGCGUAAAGGGCGCGUAGGUGGUUAGGUAAGUCGGAUGUGAAAGCCCCGGGCUUAACCUGGGAAUUGCAUUCGAUACUGUCUAGCUAGAGUAUGGUAGAGGGAAGCGGAAUUCCGGGUGUAGCGGUGAAAUGCGUAGAUAUCUGGAAGAAUACCAGUGGCGAAGGCGGCCCCCUGGAUCAUGACUGACGCUGAGGCACGAAAGCGUGGGGAUCAAACAGGAUUAGAUACCCUGGUAGUCCACGCCCUAAACGAUGAGAACUAGCUGUUAAGCGGAUUUAUUCUGCCUAGUAGCGCAGCUAACGCGUUAAGUUCUCCGCCUGGGGAGUACGGCCGCAAGGUUGAAACUCAAAUGAAUUGACGGGGGCCCGCACAAGCGGUGGAGCAUGUGGUUUAAUUCGAUGCAACCCGAAAAACCUUACCUGGCCUUGACAUCUUCGGAAUCCUGCAGAAAUGUGGGGGUGCCCGCAAGGGAACCGAAAGACAGGUGCUGCAUGGCUGUCGUCAGCUCGUGUCGUGAGAUGUUGGGUUAAGUCCCGUAACGAGCGCAACCCCUGUCUCUAGUUACCAUCAUUUAGUUGGGGACUCUAGAGAGACUGCCGGUGACAAACCGGAGGAAGGCGGGGAUGACGUCAAGUCAUCAUGGCCCUUACGGCCAGGGCUACACACGUGCUACAAUGGUCGGUACAGAGGGUCGCGAACCUGCAAGGGGAAGCUAAUCUCACAAAGCCGAUCGUAGUCCAGAUCGCAGUCUUGCAACUCGACUGCGUGAAGUCGGAAUCGCUAGUAAUCGCA
rnacentral:rRNA from 1 species